AUUGAACGCUGGCGGCAGGCCUAACACAUGCAAGUCGAACGAGUGGCGGACGGGUGAGUAAUGUCUGGGAAACUGCCUGAUGGUGGGGGAUAACUACUGGAACCGGUAGCUAAUACCGCAUACCAUCAGAUGUGCCCAUAUGGGAUUGGCGAGUUGGUGGGGUAACGGCUCACCACGGCGACGAUCCCUAGCUGGUCUGAGAGGAUGACCAGACACACUGGAAAUGAGACACGGUCCAGACUCCUACGGGAGGCAGCAGUGGGGAAUAUUGCACAAUGGGCGCAAGGCUGAUGCAGCCAUGCCGCGUGUAUGAAGAAGGCCGUCGGGUUGUAAAGUACGUUAAGCGGGGAGGCGUUACCCGCAGAAGAAGCACCGGCUAACUCCGUGCCAGCAGCCGCGGUAAUUC
rnacentral:rRNA from 1 species